GUCUUCAGCCAUGCCACCCUGAGCAAGCUCGAUGUCUGAUCUCGGAAGCUAAGCAUGGCCAAGCCUGGUUAGUACUUGGACGGGAGACCACCUAGGAAGACCAUGUGCUGUAGGCA
rnacentral:rRNA from 1 species